UACGUAGGGUGCAAGCGUUGUCCGGAAUUAUCGGGCGUAAAGAGCUCGUAGGCGGUUUGUCGCGUCUGCUGUGAAAACCUAAGGCUCAACCUUGGGCUUGCAGUGGGUACGGGCAGACUAGAGUGCGGUAGGGGUGACUGGAAUUCCUGGUGUAGCGGUGGAAUGCGCAGAUAUCAGGAGGAACACCGAUGGCGAAGGCAGGUCACUGGGCCGCAACUGACGCUGGAGGAGCGAAAGCAUGGGGAGCGAACAGG
rnacentral:rRNA from 1 species